GAUGAACGCUGGCGGCGUGCCUAAUACAUGCAAGUCGAACGAAACUUCUUUAUCACCGAGUGCUUGCACUCACCGAUAAAGAGUUGAGUGGCGAACGGGUGAGUAACACGUGGGCAACCUGCCCAAAAGAGGGGGAUAACACUUGGAAACAGGUGCUAAUACCGCAUAACCAUAGUUACCGCAUGGUAACUAUGUAAAAGGUGGCUAUACUACCGCUUUUGAAUGGGCCCGCGGCGCAUUAGCUAGUUGGUAGGGUAAAGGCUUACCAAGGCAAUGAUGCGUAGCCGAAUUGAGAGGUUGAUCGGCCACAUUGGGACUGAGACACGGCCCAAACUCCUACGGGAGGCAGCAGUAGGGAAUCUUCCACAAUGGGCGAAAGCCUGAUGGAGCAACGCCGCGUGGGUGAAGAAGGUCUUCGGAUCGUAAAACCCUGUUGUUAGAGAAGAAAGUGCGUGAGAGUAACUGUUCACGUUUCGACGGUAUCUAACCAGAAAGCCACGGCUAACUACGUG
rnacentral:rRNA from 1 species